GCCAGCCCGCUCAGAACUUAAAGGAAGUUGACGGGGGCCCGCACAAGCGGUGGAGCAUGUGGUUUAAUUCGAUGAUACGCGAGGAACCUUACCUGGGCUCAAAUGUAUGUUGACGUAUUCUGAAAGGGAUACUUCUUCGGACAAUAUACAUGGUGCUGCAUGGUUGUCGUCAGCUCGUGCCGUGAGGUGUCGGGUUAAGUCCCAUAACGAGCGCAACCCCUACCUUUAGUUGCCAUCAGGUAAUGCUGGGGACUCUAAAGGAACUGCCUACGCAAGUAGUGAGGAAGGCGGGGAUGACGUCAAAUCAGCACGGCCCUUACGUCCAGGGCUACACACGUGCUACAAUGGCCGGUACAAAGGGCAGCUACCUGGUGACAGGAUGCUAAUCUCAAAAGCCGGUCUCAGUUCGGAUCGGAGUCUGCAACCCGACUCCGUGAAGCUGGAAUCGUUAGUAAUCGCGCAUCAGCCAUGGCGCGGUGAAUACGUUCCCGGGCCUU
rnacentral:rRNA from 1 species